rnacentral:rRNA from 1 species
CGGAAGAUACUGUUGGGCUAGGGGGCGGGAGAGGCCGGCGGUAUUCCCGGGGUAGGGGUGAAAUCCUAUAAUCCCGGGAGGACCACCAGUGGCGAAGGCUGUCGGCUAGAACGCGCUCGACGGUGAGGGACGAAAGCUGGGGGAGCGAACCGGAUUAGAUACCCGGGUAGUCCCAGCUGUAAACGAUGCGGGCUAGGUGUUGGGGUGGCUACGAGCCACCUCAGUGCCGCAGGGAAACCAUUAAGCCCGCCGCCUGGGGAGUACGGCCGCAAGGCUGAAACUUAAAGGAAUUGGCGGGGGAGCACCACAAGGCGUGAAGCUUGCGGUUUAAUUGGAGUCAACGCCGGGAACCUUACCGGGAGCGACAGCAGGAUGAAAGCCAGAUUGAAGGUCUUGCUGGACAAGCUGAGAGGAGGUGCAUGGCCGUCGCCAGUUCGUGCCGUGAGGUGUCCUGUUAAGUCAGGCAACGAUCGAGACCCGCAUCCUUAGUUGCAACCCCUGCGGAUUCCGCAGGGAGCACACUACGGGAACUGCCGCCGAUAAGGCGGAGGAAGGAGCGGGCCACGGCAGGUCAGUAUGCCCCGAAUCUCCCGGGCCACACGCGAGCUGCAAUGGCAGGGACAAUGGGUUCCAACCUUGAAAGGGGAAGGUAAUCCCGAAACCCUGCCUCAGUUGGGAUCGAGGGCUGCAACCCGCCCUCGUGAACAUG